rnacentral:lncRNA from 1 species
CGACAGGGCACUGUUGUUGGGAAACAAAAGUGUCAUAACACAAUCAAUGCAAGAAAAUAAAAGAGAAAAAAAAAAGGAGCUCUCUGUAAAGAAGAAUUCGAUUUCAUUGAUUAAAUAGUUUUUAAGUACAAGAGAAUGAGGAAAUAUCGUCACGAAGGAAAAAUACAAAAUUAGAGAUUUCGGAUCUUCAAAGCAGAAGUGGAGGAGCUCGGUGCCCCC